GAUCAUGGCUCAGGACGAACGCUGGCGGCGCGCCUAACACAUGCAAGUCGAACGAGCCGAGGGGAGCUUGCUCCCCAGAGCUAGUGGCGGACGGGUGAGUAACACGUGAGCAACCUGCCUUUCAGAGGGGGAUAACGUUUGGAAACGAACGCUAAUACCGCAUAACAUACCGGGACCGCAUGAUUCUGGUAUCAAAGGAGCAAUCCGCUGAAAGAUGGGCUCGCGUCCGAUUAG
rnacentral:rRNA from 1 species